AUUUUGAAGACAUCCAACUUCUAUUUUUUUUUUCCUUCUUCAAUUUGCAGAGAACUUCUAAGAGAGAGAUUGGAAGAAGAAGAGGAAUUUUACUAGAAUUUUGAUGUUGAAGAAGAGGAGGAGAACUCAAGCAAAGUGUAUCCAUGGCUGAAUUUUAGUUCAUUCUCCACAUCACUGGUUUUUAAUUCGGUUUUGAACGCUUCAAAAGGAAUUAAGAGGUGAUAUUUCCAUUUACUGAAAGUGAACUCAUUUUCAAACAAACUUUAUGAAGAAAGUUGGAGCAAAUUCGGAUAUUCAUUUGGUGCUUUUUGAUGAAGAAAACAGGGCAGAUGGUUUUCACUCGAAAUCAGGAGGUCUCUGAUUUUUCUUGUAUUUCAGAGUGUACCGGUGGAGUUAGAAUCUUUAUUUUGUAUGUUUGGAAAGCUUACUCAAUUUACUACAACUUUCAUGAAGAAAUCGUGAACCCAAAACGACUAAAAAUCAGUUAAAUUGUAGGGACAAGUUAAAGAGGUCUUGUGCGCGCGAUUCUGGAAGUGGUUCUGUUCCGAGGGUUAUCUGAGUGUAUGCACGGGGAAUCAGAUUUAUAUGUCUUCAGGUCAAGAAGAAUUAAACCGAGCUUAUAGACCAAGGAUCUAGCCCUAAACGGUAUAGAUCGAGUUCCCGGUGCCUGAUAAACUGCCUUAGUCUGCAGAAGCUCCGUUAUCGAUUACCAGUACGUGUUCUGAGUUGGGCAUAGAGUCUGUUGUGUUGUGAUGUAUAUACACCCUUGUAUGUUAUAGAUACUCCACAGUUUGUAAAAGCUUUAAGAGCUGUAGUUCUGUAAACUUUGUUAGUUAUAUUUUGAUUAAGGUGUCUU